UCCUCCAUGUAACAUGAGUGGUUCUGGCUCCAGGAGUGGUCAUGUGGGCCUGGCCUGGCCAGUGGAAAUACUCCAUCCUGCUGGUCACAGCGAUUGAUUCAAGAAUGGGCAUGUGAUCCAAUCUGAGCCAAUCAAAGCUAUUAAGUAUUAGUACUGGCACUCUGGCUGGCAUAAUCAGGAAAGGGAUCACUUGCUUUUGGGGAAGCCUGCCGCCAUGCCAUGAGGAUAUUCAAGCAGUACUAUGGAAAGGUACAUUUGGCAAAGAACUGAGGCCUCCUGCCAACACCAGCACCAACUCCAGUCCUGUGAGUGAAUCACCAUGGAAACAGAUCCUUCCGCCCCAGACAUGCCUUCAGAUGACUGAAAUUCCAGCUGACAGUCUGACUGGAGCUUCCUUUGAGACCCAGAGCCAGAUCGCUUAGGCUGGGAUCUUGGAGUGACACAUCUAUCACACAGUGAGCUGCACACACAGAGGAUUGAGACACUCAGAAGCGCCAGAAGCUUGUCUGUCUGGUUGAUUGGCAAAACAGAGGCUAGAGGAAACAGCUCAUCUUUCUUCUCCCUGGCAAGGCCACUUCCUCUCCUCCGCCCCAGUCUUAUUAACUGACACAAGGAUAGUCACUGGAAAAAGAUCUUCUAUUACCCCAAAAGCUGAGCUCCAGGGUGACAGACAGAGUGGAUGAAGAAAUGGAUAACACCCGCCUUUUUGCUCCAUGAUUGACCCCUCUGCUCUCCAUACUCUGAAUUAGCCCCACCCUUCACCUCUUUUAACCAGAUAAACCAAAAGCACUCCUGUGCAUCUCACCCACAAGAAACAGAAGCCCACAAAUGUGUCCCCAAGAGGCUGAGUCCAAAUCCCAAGUGGGCUUAGCUGGGGCAUAUAAAUAAAGCUUUUAACAUGCUCCAAACAGCUCCCCUUUCCCGCACACCAUGGCUGAGAAGUGCUAUUGCAGAGAGUGGUUCUCAAAGGGUGUGCCCCAGACUACCAGCGUCAGCAUCACCUGGGAACUCAUUAGAAAUGCACGAUCUCAGGCCCUGCCCAGAUCUGCUGAAUCCAGGAGAGAACCCAGCAACCUGCAUUUUAACACAUCUUCCGGAUGACUCUGAUGUACACUCAGGUAUGAAAACCAUCGCUUUUGACCAGUGCUGUUGAAGCCAGCCUCGCAAGGGUAGCAAGAAUUCUGGACAGAAAUAUAGCUGCAAUUCAGCAUUAAUCAGGCUAUACGUUGACACACUUCCUUGCACAUGAAAGUCAGGUAACACUAGAUACUGACCAUUUACCACCUCGUCGUUCCUGUAGAUAGGAUUUCUGACAUUAGAAUCAUAGGGUUUUGUUUAAGAAUUGCUGCAAACUUAACAGACUGGUCUCAAACAAACUGGUCUCAAACUCCUGGCCUCAAGCAAUCCUCCCACCUUGGCCUCCCAAAGUGCUGGGAUUACACAGGUGAGCCACCAUGUCCAGCUCCUUAAUUUAAAUUUAAAAAGCAGAUCCUGAAUUCCAGCAGAAUAGCUGAUGUCAACCAGUUUAAAGACCCCUCCCCCAACAGAGCAAUUGAAUCUGCAAAAGAACACAGCUUCUUUAUUUCUCUGUCCCAUAACUCCACCCUGCUCUCUUUCACCAAUCAGCAAUCUCCACACUUCGGCCCACUGCAAAACCCUUAAAAAUCCUAGCCCCAGACUCCUCUGGGAGAUGGAUUUGAUGUUUCCUCCUAUCUCCUCCCUUCAAUUAAAGCUGUUUCUCUGCUGCAACCCAGUGUCUUAGUGGAUUGACCCAUUGCCUGCAUUGGGCAGUGGAUCUAUUACAGUUACACUGUCUGAUAGAACUUUCUAAACUAAUGGAAAUGUUUGCUGUCAAAUAUACUAACCUCUAG